GCCAGAGUGUUGGAAUUGGCAGACAAGCACGGUUUAGGACCGUGUGCUCUAACGAGCGUGUGGGUUCAAGUCCCACCUCUGGCA
rnacentral:tRNA from 1 species